rnacentral:sRNA from 15 species
AUUCUGCCCAUGCGGGGAAGGAUGAGAAGCUUCGAUUAAGGUUCGAUUCGAGCGCAGCGAGAAAGCGUUGCCGCAGGCAACGACCCGAAGGGCGAGGCGCAACGCACCGGGUAAUCCUUCCCCCACCACGA